CAUAUACUCCCUCCGUUCGGAAUUCCUUGUCAUAGAAAUGGAUGUAUCUAGACGUAUUUUAGUUCUAGAUACAUCUAUUUUCGAGACAAGUAAUUCCGAACGGAGGGAGUAGUUU
rfam:Triticum aestivum genome assembly, contig: Triticum_aestivum_CS42_TGACv1_scaffold_501764_6BL